ACUCCCAGCUCUGUGGCUGGAGAAGCUGUUUAUGAACUCUGCGUGUCGGAACCCUGGCAGCCCAGCUGCCCCAGCUGGGACUUUUCACAGACGACCCAGUGGGCAGGAAGAGUUUCUUGCUUCUAUCCCAGGCUGUCUUGACAUUACUAGCCUCAUGUCUGGUAUUUGGGAGACAAGCAGAAGUUGUGUGGACCCAGAGAUGAGGAGGAGCACUCAAACACUCAACAGAGAGAAGAGAAGCCCAGCCGAGAACCCAUGCUCCAGAAGAACGCAAAUAAAGCCCCCCCCCCAGAUGCCAGGGAUGCAGGGAUCGUAAGCUCAGGAAAGGGGGUGGGCUCCAUGACCAAUUCUUGAAAAAGACGGAGUAGCUGGAUUUUCACAGGCUUGGAAGUCAGGGCAGGCAUAGGUGUAGGACAUGUGGUAAAAUUUUAUUUUAUUUUAUUUUUUAUUUUUAAGGGAAAUGUGUUUCUUUUUUCUAGAAUUUCGCAUCCCUAGUUGAGCUUGUUUCUAACUUGUUAAGGGGGACUUGGUGUUUACCCUAUAAAAGACCAGUGUACCACAAAAGCCUCUCAGAGGCUGAAGGGGUGCCAUAAAAACUCCCUA